rnacentral:rRNA from 1 species
ACCGGCGGCUCGAGUGGUGGCCACUAUUACUGGGCUUAAAGCGUUCGUAGCUGGCUUGUUAAGUCUCUUGGGAAAUCCUUCGGCUUAACCGGAAGGCGUCUUAGGGAUACUGGUAGGCUAGGGACCGGAAGAGGUGAGAGGUACUCCAGGGGUAGGGGUGAAAUCCUGUAAUCCUUGGGGGACCACCUGUGGCGAAGGCGUCUCACCGGAACGGCUCCGACAGUGAGGAACGAAAGCUGGGGGAGCAAACCG